GGCUAGAGGUCAGGGGCUAGAGGUCAGGGGCUAGAGGUCAAGGACUAGAGGUCAGGGGCUAGAGGUCAGGGGCUAGAGAUCAGGGACCAGAGGUCGGGGACUAGAGGUCAGGGACUAGAGGUCAGGGGCUAGAGGUCAGGGACUAGAGAUCAAGGGGCUAGAGGUCAGGGGCUAGAGUUCGGAGGCUAGAGGUCAGGGACCAAAGGUCAGGGGCUAGAGGUCAAGGACCAGAGGUCAGGGGCUAGAGGUCAGGGGCUAGAGGUCAGGGGCUAGAGGUCAAGGACUAGAGGUCAGGGGCUAGAGGUCAGGGACUAGAGGUCAGGGACUAGAGGUCAGGGACUAGAGGUCAGGGGUUGAAGGUGCUGAAUUCCUCUCCCUGUACUCCAGACAGAUACCAUCAUUCUAAACAACUAUAAAUCACUAGUCAUCAAUUAUUUACCAGGAAUCAAUACAGCUAUCAGUUCCCCCUCCUUUAUGUCUGUCAACAACUGUGUGACUAUCAUUUACAACAACACCCACACAUUAAUAUAUAUCUAUAUGAUUACAACAACACCCACACAUAA
rnacentral:lncRNA from 1 species